UUCCUUCCCUACAAUACUAUGCCACUGGGAGACUCGUCCAGACAAUGGACUUGCCUAUUUUUUUGGAGAUGAAGAAGUAACCUGGUCUGAGGCAGAAAAGCGAUGUAAUAAUUUCGGGGGAUCAGUAGCGAUGGCACGCUUUGAUGAAGAUCAGAACUUCCUCGUUAAGAACAUUAAAUCUGGAAAGUAUUACAUAGGAGGUAGGAGAUCCGACAGCGGAAAUUUUGCAUGGUUAGACGGGACCCCUAUCAAUCAUGAGGAUCCACGCUGGGACUCAGGUGAACCAAACAACCACAAAGGAAACAACGAAAAUUGCAUG